GACGAACGCUGGCGGCGUGCCUAAUACAUGCAAGUAGAACGCUGAAGGAGGAGCUUGCUUCUCUGGAUGAGUUGCGAACGGGUGAGUAACGCGUAGGUAACCUGCCUGGUAGCGGGGGAUAACUAUUGGAAACGAUAGCUAAUACCGCAUAAGAGUAGAUGUCGCAUGACAUUUGCUUAAAAGGUGCAAUUGCAUCACUACCAGAUGGACCUGCGUUGUAUUAGCUAGUUGGUGAGGUAACGGCUCACCAAGGCAACGAUACAUAGCCGACCUGAGAGGGUGAUCUGCCACACUGGGACUGAGACACGGCCCAGACUGCUACGGGAGGCAGCAGUAGGGAAUCUUCGGCAAUGGACGGAAGUCUGACCGAGCAACGCCGCGUGAGUGAAGAAGGUUUUCGGAUCGUAAAGCUCUGUUGUAAGAGAAGAACGAGUGUGAGAGUGGAAAGUUCACACUGUGACGGUAUCUUACCAGAAAGGGACGGCUAACUACGUG
rnacentral:rRNA from 1 species